ACUUUUGGAUUGUGUGUAUAUAUAAGCAACAGAGCCAAGGAGGGAGAUAAAAAAUAAAAUUAACAAAAAUGUUUCUGUAAAAAGGGUAAGGCUAAAAUGGGAAUUUGAAGGCACAAAGCAUAUCUAAAGGCCAAAAUAGAAAAAAGAAAGAAAUUGGCAGAGGUGGAAUGUCAACAGCGCGAGAGUACUGGCCCUGCCCUGGCCUGCAACUGCCAAUCUGUUUUCUGUCUGUACUUUUAUCUUCUUUCUUUCUUUCUCUCUCUUUUUUCUUCCUGUUUAACCGGGUUUUCGCCACGUGGCAGUGGUAAAACUUAGGCAAUACUCGAAAAGACAAUUUGACCCUCCAACUCAUUGGCCAAUGAGGUAUGUAUUCUUGAUGUCAUUGAUGGGUUUAUUGACUUUUGACUUUGGGUGGCGCCGUGGUGGAAUGGAAUGUAAGGUGUUGCAUAUGGAGAUGGGAGUCACUUUCAUGAAGUUUACCUGCCGCCUCUGAUCCUUAAUAUCUAAGCACGUAAGGUUAGUGAGUAUCCAUCUAUUAAAUGUUUUCUUUUUGUCUCACCCAAGUUUUCUUUAUGCUAUUCAAGAAAUUGUGUUUAAACAAUUAUAUAUAACAAUCUAUCAAUUUAUUAAAUACAUAAUACAUCUAACUAAAUCUAAUCUUAUUAGCUUGCGCCUUAACUGGUAAACAGGAACUGUAAAAUUAGAAACUUUUUUGUUGCUGGUUAGUCUAAUCUGAUGCUUAUAUUAAUGGAUUUGUACUGUAUGCAGGGUUAUUGGAAUCUUAAAGUGUUGAAGAGAUAUUUCAACAGCUCGCACCAUAAGCAAUGAUUUUCGGUGGAUGAAUUGAGCGAGGCAUUUAACCUUACUUUUUAUAAGGUACUAGUAACCUUCAUUUGCGUUACCUGAUUAUUGGAGAUAUAUUUUGCAUCCUGAAUAUGGGAAUUUUAGCACAAUAACCUAGAAUUUAUAUGAGCAUUAAAGAAGAAGAGAAAGAGAAAUGGCCUAUUCUGUUGUUCUUCUGUGGGCUAGUAAUUGCAGCAAAUAGCUCACAACGUUUAUGUGAAGGUUGGCUAGCAGAGACCCUCCGCCCUAAGCAAAAAAAAUCCCUACCCGCGGCUCAAUCUUUCUUCCUGCAUUUAUUUAAAUGCAGCUAUGGCACGUGAAUCAGUUAUUGCAGAUUAUCCAUAUCAAGAAUGUAAUUGUCACUUUCCUGCUAAUGACGAUUUUCUCUUUUAAAAGUGUCAUAUUAUAUUGAGAAAAAUUUAAAGAAGC
rnacentral:lncRNA from 1 species